GGUGGAGAGUUCCAAAGGGAUCGCAUUGAUCUGAUUCUUUUGGUUCCAUUCUGCAGAAUUUUCCUUCUUAUUGGAUCAUGCGAUCCCUUCGGAACUUUCCAU
rfam:Vigna angularis cultivar Jingnong 6 chromosome 10, whole genome shotgun sequence.